GUAUUUGAAUCUUUCCCACUACCCCAUCCCCGCCCUGUUACCAUCUCCCCUGACUCCAGCUGAAGCAAACCUUGGUGAGGGGAGGACUAGGGCCCCACUACCCCUCAAGCCUUUUUGUACAAUUGAUCUUUCUCCCUCCUCUGCCCUGAGCUGUCUGUUCUCCCAUCUCCCAUGGAGACCUGUUCCUGACCUGUCUUCUUUCAGAUGCAGAAGGCGUGAGUGCCCUGGGAUGGCUGCUGGAUCAGUACUUAGAACAGAGAGAGACCUCUCGGAACCCCUUGAGUCGAGCAGCGUCUUUUGCUUCUCGAGUUCGUCGCCUUUGCCACUUGCUGGUGCAUGUGGAGCCUCCUCCUGGGCCUUCUCCUGAGCCAUCCACUCGGCCCUUCAGCAAGAACAGUAAGGGUCGGGACCGGAGCCCGGUGCCUUCGCCAGUGCUUCCAAGCAGCAGCCUGAGGAACAUAACCCAGUGCUGGCUGAGCGUGGUGCAGGAGCAGGUGGGCAGAAGCAAGCAGAAGUCUGCAGAGGGGAGGGGCUGCUCCUUUUAUGUCAUUUCUUGCCUUUCUCCUCAGGUCGGCAGAUUCCUGGCUGCAGCUUGGAGGGCCCCAGACUUUGUGCCUCGUUACUGUAAACUCUAUGAGCACUUGCAGAGAGCAGGCUCCGAGCUGUUUGGGCCUCGGGCAGCCUUCACGCUGGCUCUGCGCAGUGGCUUCUCUGGUGCCUUGCUGCAGCAGUCCUUCCUCACUGCUGCUCAC
rnacentral:sRNA from 1 species